UAUUAUAUUAGUACUAGAAAAAUUGGAAAAUGGGUGGCAGGGGAUUGACCACGGUAGGAACCGGAAGUGACGUGUUUGUAGCGGCAGUACCACUAAGAGCCACCAAGGGACCACCGCAGUUGGUGAUGUCAGCUGCCUACUCUCUAUAUCUUUCUUGGGAUGUACAACACUUCAUGGUCCUUUCCACUUCCCCUGCUCCUCUUCCUUCUCAGGUAUUGGUUUUUGAUUUUCAACCGGAAGAUCCGGAAAAUAUAUAUGCAGCACUUGCAGCUUUGUCGGGCAGGAAAAUACCUGGAGUUCUGCAAACGAGAAAGAUGAAGAAAUUGCCAAAAACAAGAUGUUGGAGGGUAGGAUCUUGUAAUGUGGAUGUUGUCGAGGCAAUGCACACGUUUAAUAGCAAUUGGGAUACUGAUCUGAUAGUUGGUCAGCAUGAUUGUCGCCAUUACACAAAUGGAUUGGUGGAGUGCCUGACCGGUGAGAAGGAUGUGCUGGAUCGUUUGAAAAGAAGUCAAAAGAGCUUCACUUGAUCUACCACUGAAUUUCAUAUUUUUCUUAUGUGAGAUACUCAGGUACGCUCCCCUUGGUACGAAUGAGUGUUUCUACUAUUGCUGGUAUGAAUUCAGUGGGAUUAAAGGCAUAUAUUCUUUAAGAGCACGAAAGCACUUGAUUUCUCAUGGUUUUGAGAUAACGAUGGGACUUCAAAGUCCCCUGAUGGCCGAUUGGACAAUGGAGAGAAUGCUUAGAGAUGAUAAAUGAGAAUACAACGUUUCUUUAAAUCCAUUUAUGUAUGAUGUUAUCAAAGGACGGGAUCCAAGGUGGGAAUCUGUGCUUUUCAAGUUAAAAGCUAUGUCUAUUAGGAAAUUCUGAGGUUAGGUUCGUAUGCAGCCUACCCCACGUCCCACCUAGGCCCCGUCUUGAAGUCAUAUUGCAGAAGAUGAAAAAUCCGCUUAAGCACCAAGAUAUAAGAAUCAUGUUACAUGUUAACAAA